rnacentral:rRNA from 1 species
GACGAACGCUGGCGGCGUGCUUAACACAUGCAAGUCGAACGGAAAGGCCCUGCUUUGGUGGGGUGCUCGAGUGGCGAACGGGUGAGUAACACGUGAGUAACCUGCCCUUGACUUUGGGAUAACUUCAGGAAACUGGGGCUAAUACCGGAUAGGAGCUCCGGCUGCAUGGUGGGGGUUGGAAAGUUUCGGCGGUUGGGGAUGGACUCGCGGCUUAUCAGCUUGUUGGUGGGGUAGUGGCUUACCAAGGCUUUGACGGGUAGCCGGCCUGAGAGGGUGACCGGCCACAUUGGGACUGAGAUACGGCCCAGACUCCUACGGGAGGCAGCAGUGGGGAAUAUUGCACAAUGGGCGGAAGCCUGAUGCAGCCACGCCGCGUGCGGGAUGACGGCCUUCGGGUUGUAAACCGCUUUCGCCUGUGACGAAGCGUGAGUGACGGUAAUGGGUAAAGAAGCACCGGCUAACUACGUG